GACGAACGCUGGCGGCGUGCCUAAUACAUGCAAGUAGAACGCUGAAGGAGGAGCUUGCUUCUCUGGAUGAGUUGCGAACGGGUGAGUAACGCGUAGGUAACCUGCCUGGUAGCGGGGGAUAACUAUUGGAAACGAUAGCUAAUACCGCAUAAGAGUAGAUGUUGCAUGACAUUUGCUUAAAAGGUGCAAUUGCAUCACUACCAGAUGGACCUGCGUUGUAUUAGCUAGUUGGUGGGGUAACGGCUCACCAAGGCGACGAUACAUAGCCGACCUGAGAGGGCGAUCGGCCACACUGGGACUGAGACACGGCCCAGACUCCUACGGGAGGCAGCAGUAGGGAAUCUUCGGCAAUGGACGGAAGUCUGACCGAGCAACGCCGCGUGAGUGAAGAAGGUUUUCGGAUCGUAAAGCUCUGUUGUAAGAGAAGAACGAUUGUGAGAGUGGAAAGUUCACAAUGUGACGGUAUCUUACCAGAAAGGGACGGCUAACUACGUG
rnacentral:rRNA from 1 species